CCUACGGGAGGCAGCAGUGGGGAAUAUUGCACAAUGGGCGCAAGCCUGAUGCAGCCAUGCCGCGUGUGUGAAGAAGGCCUUCGGGUUGUAAAGCACUUUCAGCGGGGAGGAAGGCGGUGAGGUUAAUAACCUCAUCGAUUGACGUUACCCGCAGAAGAAGCACCGGCUAACUCCGUGCCAGCAGCCGCGGUAAUACGGAGGGUGCAAGCGUUAAUCGGAAUUACUGGGCGUAAAGCGCACGCAGGCUGUCUGUCAAGUCGGAUGUGAAAUCCCCGGGCUCAACCUGGGAACUGCAUUCGAAACUGGCAGGCUAGAGUCUUGUAGAGGGGGGUAGAAUUCCAGGUGUAGCGGUGAAAUGCGUAGAGAUCUGGAGGAAUACCGGUGGCGAAGGCGGCCCCCUGGACAAAGACUGACGCUCAGGUGCGAAAGCGUGGGGAGCAAACAGGAUUAGAUACCCGUGUAGUC
rnacentral:rRNA from 1 species